GCUCGCUCUCCCGACCGCCUCUUCCUUCCUGCUGCCACGAGUGAGCCGCAGCCCCUGCCUCUUCUUCCUCGUCGUCUCCCUCGCACUCUCAUCUCCUGCUUCGACCAGUUGCCUACUCCGGCCACUCGCCCUCUCAUUCUCCGAGCCGCUGCCGUCUCUCUUGCCUUCUCACGCUCCCGCUCCAGCCACUCUCCUUGUCACUCUCCGAGGUCCGUUCAAGUACUGUUUCAUCGUCAGUUAAUGCUAUCAGAGUUGAUGGUGCUCCAUUACUAAACCAGCGUGGACAUGGGUAGCGAAAAUCAAUAUUAUGGAAGGGGAAACUAUCGUGGAGGCCGUGGUGGUCGAUUUCGCUCACGAGGCCGAGGACGAGGAAACUACCACAACAAUCAACAAAAUCAAAGGUAUUAUAAUGAUCAACGCUCUCACAUUGUCUGUCAAUUAUGUGAAAAGAUAGGGCACUCGGCAAAGACGUGCAAAUUAUUCCAGCAAUCAGACAAUUCUAAUUCCAAUCCUCCUCAUGCGUAUAAUGCUGCAACAUCUGAGACCACUGGUAAUGAUUCGUGGUAUCCUGAUUCCGGUGCUUCCCAUCACGUUGUUCCUGAUAUCAGCUCUUUGUCAAUAAAUUCCGCUUAAUCGGGCGUCAAGGUGUGAAAUGGUACAAGUUUAGCUAUUAAACACAUUGGUAGUUCAUCCUUUAAACUUGGAAAUUUCAACGUCAAGAUGCAUGAUAUUCUUCAUGUUCCUCUUAUAACCAAGAAACUUUUCUCUGUGCAUCGGUUUGCUGAAGAUAAUAACGUUGUUUUUGAAUUUGAUGCAAGAGAGUGCAGAAUUAGAGAUGCCAGAUCCAAACAAAAGUUGUUGAGAGGACACGUUAAAGGAGGAAUCUACACUCUUGACUUUGACAAUUUUAAAGAAAAAGUUGCUUGCAUUGGAGAAAAGGCUUGUCGCGCUACAUGGCACGCCCGGUUGGGACGUCCAAAUAGAAAGAUUGUUGAUCGUGUGCUUAGUUCCUUUAAUUUACCUUUUUCGGACUGCAAUAUCAAAAUUUGUUCUUUCUGUCAAACUGCUAAAAUGCAUAAGUUGCCCUUUAGUCGCAUUGAUUAUAGUAAAUUGGAACCUCUAGAGAUCAUCUUUUCAGAUGUAUGGGGGCCAGCCACUAUUUCUAGUAUCUAUGGACAUCGUUUUUAUGUUAUCUUUGUUGAUGCAUGGUCAAGAUUUACAUGGCUGUUUUUGUUGAAACAUAAAUCUGAAGUGCUUGAGACCUUUCAAAAGUUUAAAGCAAUGGUUGAAAAUAUGUUUGGAAGAAAAAUUAAGAAAUUCCACAGUGAUGGUGGAGGAGAAUACAAGUGCAUGGACAACUAUUUUUCCAAGGCAGAAAUUAAACAUCGUUAUUUCUGUCCUCACACCCAAAAACAGAAUGACGUCUUCGAACGCAAACAUAGGCAUAUCGUUGACACUAGAUUGACUCUUAUGGCUCAUAGCAAUGUGCUAAAACAACUCUGGAAUUUUGCCUUUUCAGCUGCAAUAUUUCUGAUAAAUCGAUUGCCUGCUGCAGGCUUGAAAAAAUACAAGUCCUCUUGAAAUGCUUUGGAACAAGGAACCCAACUACAAGUUUCUUAAAACUUUUGGGUGUUUAUGCUUCCCCAACUUGAGAGCGUAUAGAUCCAACAAACUUGACUAUCGAUCCCAUGCUCACGUUUUUAUGGGUUAUAGUGAUAAUCAUCAUGGCUAUCUAUGCAUGGAUCCUAACUCAUUCAAGAUUAUUGUGUCCAAAGAUGUUAUUUUCAAUGAAGAAAAUUUUCCUUUUAUUGAAAAACCAGCUAAUGACACUUCGGCCCCAGGAACUCACCCACAAGUUGUUCUUGUGCCUCCAUGGCUCUCAUCUUCAAGCAGUGCCAUUGCAGAAAAUCCUACUGCUCCUGUUCAUGACAGUGGACCGCUUAUUGCACCUAGCUCGCCACAAACAAGUCCAGAUCAACCUGCUCCUCAAGAGGCACUGUUGGUCACCUCAAGGCCUCACUCUAUGGUGAGACGCUCCCAAACUGGUUCACUCAAACCAUCCUCUCGGCUCUCGUUAUGCUUUCUCUAGUCUCUUGGUGACUAAACUCCUCGAAGACAAGGAACCAAAAGAUUUUAAUGAAGCCACCAAGCAUAACAAGUGGCGUGCUGCUAUGCAAGACGAAUUUCAAGCUCUUUGCAAGAAUAAAACAUGGUCUCUUGUGCCUCGCACCUCGGAAAUGAAUAUUGUGGGAUGCAAAUGGGUGUACCGCAUCAAACACAAGUCGGAUGGCACUCUUGAGCGACACAAAGCUAGACUUGUCACAAAAGGGUUUCACCAAGAAGAAGGAGUCGACUUCUUUGAAACUUUCAGCCAUGUCGUCAAACCAGGUACUAUUCGAACUAUGAUCUCACUUGCUUUAUGGGGGAAUUGGAUAAUUAGACAACUUGAUGUCCAUAAUGCAUUCCUUAAUGGAACCUUAUUUGAGGAAGUGUAUAUGGCUCAACCGCCCGGCUUCAUCGACCACCAAUUUCCAUCACAUGUCUGCCACCUUCAUAAGGCCCUAUAUGGGCUAAAGCAAGCCCCUCGAGCCUGGUUUCAACGUCUGAGUCAAAGCCUCUUUCAUUUUGGAUUCACGAGCUCUAAGACUGAUCCUUCUUUAUUUAUCAUGCAUAGUGGUGAAAAUAUUGUUUAUAUUAUGGUCUAUGUUGACGACAUUCUUGUCACCGGCAAUUCUCAAAGUCUUACUAACAAGAUUAUUAAGCUUCUUGGUGAGUAGUUUGCCUUAAGGGAUCUUGGGAGGCUUCAUUUUUUCCUUCGGGUGGAAAUUCUGUAUAAUUCCCAAGGUGCUAUCCUCUCUCAACGGAAGUACAUCAUGGAUCUUCUAAAAAAGGCAAAAAUGCAUGAGUGCAAACCAUCCACUACUCCAAUGUCAUCCUCCUCUAAAUUACACAUUGGAGACGACAUUGAUUUCGAGGACCCUACCUUGUAUAGGAGCAUUGUGGGUGGUUUACAAUACCUAUCUCUCACAAGACCAGACGUCGCUUUCAGCAUCAAUAAAGUGUGCCAAUUCAUGCACAAGCCUCCAUAUCUCAUUGGACAGUGGUUAAAAGAAUCCUAAGGUAUUUUAAAUAUACUAUUCAGUAUGGAUUGGUGUUCAAAGCAUCCAAAGACACUAGCAUUAAUGUCUACACAGAUGCUGAUUGGGCUGGGUCUCCUGAUGACCGAAAAUCCACCUCAGGGUAUGCAGUUUAUAUUGGCCCUAACCUUGUUUCAUGGAGUUCAAGGAAACAACAUGUUGUCUCCCGCUCAAGCACUGAGGCCGAAUGCAGAGGAGUAGCAAAUGCCGCAACAGAGCUAACCUAGAUUCAGUCUCUCUUAAGUGAGAUGAAAGUUAGUGUUGUCAACACACCAGUCAUUUGGUGUGACAAUAUCAGCGCUAACUACCUUGCAGUUCAUUCCACGUUUCACUCCAGAAGCAAAUACAUUGAAGUCGACGUUCACUAUGUACGCGACAAAGUUUCUAAAGGUUUGCUCAGAGUUCAGCAUCUCUCAUCAUUGGACCAAAUUGCUGAUGGCCUAACCAAGCCCAUUGUUGUCACACAAUUUAAUUAAUUCCGUGUCAAGCUCAACCUUAGAAGCAUACAGUUGCACUUGAGGGAGGCUGUGAAAGACCCUCGUCCUGAUCACAAUGAACGUGCAGUUGGUUACAUCAGCUCCACCAAAUGUGGAACCACGUUAGCAUGUAAUCCAUCCUCAUGUAAAAAGGAUGUAACUGAAAGGGUAAACCUUAUCAAGUCUAUUAAAACUGAAAAGGUUAUCCCCAUCCAUUGUAAAGCAACAGAGUAUAUAAAAGGAAAGCAGGAACCACAGUAACGUGUGUGUGUCCCUGCAUCGUGAAUGUAGCCUUAACAGGUGAACCACGUUAAAAUUUCUGAAUACUCUUUCAUUCCUCUCAUACCCAGGCAGAUGAGUUCAAUAUGUUGUUGCCUGCGUCCGGCCUCUGUUUGUGGAAGAAGAUGUUAUUCUUUUCUGUUUGCUGAAACUCCAAAUUCCAGAUAUUUAAUCCCUUCUCAAGAGGAGUGAGUGAAUUUUGGGGUGAUGUAACACUAGUAAUUGUUUUCAUUAGUGUUUCUAAGUUAGCAGUCGGCAUCAGAUGUACUUUUCACUUCCUUUUUAGGAUAUCUUUUUGACAAAUUUAUUUGUUUCUGUUUGCAAGUAUCUUUUGCCUUUCAAAAGUUCAACUCUUGUAGCUUCUGCUUUGGUUGGUCCUCUUGGGAAGCCCAUCCCUUUCUCAUGGUUCGAAUUUAUUUUACUAAGCAGUGGUGAGUCUGUGCAUGGGGCAUUCCCUUCACAUUUUUGUCUCUGGUAGUACAUUUUCUAAGCUUAAAAACGGAAUCAUGAAGGUCUGGACUUUAUGGCGUUUUAUGAUAUUUCAGUAAUGAGGGUAAGUUUUUGAAAUGCUUGAAUUUGUAUAGUUGUUAAGUUCUUGUGGUGAUCUUGUAGUAGUCUUAGAUUGCAUAGCCCUAACUGGACGGGACGCAGACUAACUGUUCUUGUUUAUGUGAUUUGAUCAGACAUUCCACUGCAACAACGGAAAGGCAUACCUUUUCAACAAAGCGUAGGUUUAUCUGAUUUAAAUCUUUCAUUCUCUCCUUACUUGAUAUGAUGGAUUCUUAUAGUGGCAUUUUUGAAAUGAUGACUUUUCCAUGUUAUGUUUCUUUAACGCUUGUGGUAACAAAUGUCAAGCUUCAGUUUUUAUUUUAUGUUAUGACAUGAAAUAUGUUGUUUGCUUGUUGAGAUGAUAUGAAACUAGUAUUGUUUUGUUCAUGUUUGCCACUUCGUUAGAUAUUUGUUAUAUUUAGUUGCAUUCUUGGCUAAUGUGAAACUAGUCUUGUUUUGUUAUAAUUUUUUGGCAAAGAAGAAGGAAUGUUGAUCACUUUUCAUAGAGAAAACUUUCAUGCUAUGGUUAAGUCAAGGGAAAUAAAUUGGGUUUAUUUUUCGUACAUUGGAGUGACGAACUUAAUAACACAAAUUGGGUUAGCAAACCUUAUAAGACUGAAAACUUCCACGCAUGACUGAUUUGGUUGGUUUGCUUUUGUGAUCCAUGAUUGGAUAUAUAUGCUCUAUUUUUUUUGUUCUAUUUUGGAGUUUGCAAUUACUAGUUUUUGUUUUUUUCAUGUUGUAGUACUAUGGAAGUUUCAAGCUCAAGAAAUGAUAGUCUUAUAUGGACUGAUGCUCAACUAGAGUAUCUUACAAGUAUUCUAGUUAAGCAAUCAAGACUACCUGGCAUGAAGUCAGGCGAAAAUUUAUAGCCAAAAGCGUAUAAGGCAAUUGAACGGAAUAUGUUAGAAAAGUUUGGGCCAGAUUUCACAGUCGAGAAAAUAAAAAACAAGUUGAAGAGUACAAAAGCAUACUACAAUGUGUGCAAGCAAAUUUUGUUAACAAGUGGGUUUGGUUGGGACCCAACAAACAAGUGCGUAGAAGUUGACAAUGAAGUUUGGGCCAACUACAUUAAGAAAUUCCCUGAUCAGCGGAAAUUCAAAGGGGGGCAAAAAUGGAAACAUUAUCAACAGUUAGAGGAAGUGUAUGGCCAGUCCACUGCGAAUGGUAGUGGUAGUUUUACUUGAGACAGGAAGACUUGGUUUGCUCAUCCUGACCCAGCUCGCUUAACCAAUUGCAGGCGGGUUGGGCCUUGAGCUGGAUGAUGUUGGCCUGGUGUCCAGUUCGACGCGGGCCAAAUAGCAGGUCCGCCUCGUAAGUGCUGGGAUUGAAACUAGGCACACUUGUAGUGGGCUGGGCUGGGCCAGCCUAACUGUGUACUACCUUUUAUGUUUGGCUCGAAGCCUCUAAUAGCAAAGAACUGGUUUAAUUUCUUCAAGCCUGUACCUGCAACUCGCAGCUACAAACAUUACAGAACUCGACGGCAGAGUUGGAGAGAACUUAAAAUGGAUACCAAGAAGUGUUGAGCAUACUUACAGGAAAGAAACCUCUCUUGGGCAGAAGGGGAGUUUUGUUUUUUACACAUAAAAUUGUUCUUGAUCCAUUUGGGCCAUGUAAUUUCUUCUUCAAAAACAUUCAGAAGACCCUUUAUUUUGCUGGCUUCAACCAAGGAUAUAUUUGUGAGCUUUUAUGUAGUUUGACAGAUGGGUGUAACCAACCUUUUGAGACUCAGGCAUGUCCUCCAAAGUUUUAAAACAAAAGAACGAGUCCUUCUAUGCAAUUCCCAACUCACUAGAAAGCCCAAUCGCAUGUGAAAAUGAUAUGAGAGGACAUUUGAAAAAAAGAAUUUAAAACGUUUAAACUUAAUAAUUGGUGAAUAUGUAUAGGAAAGUUGGUAAAUAUCAAACCAAUU